CCUACGGGUGGCAGCAGUGGGGAAUAUUGCACAAUGGGGGAAACCCUGAUGCAGCGACGCCGCGUGAGUGAAGAAGUAACUCGUUAUGUAAAGCUCUAUCAGCAGGGAAGAAAAUGACGGUACCUGAGUAAGAAGCCCCGGCUAACUACGUGCCAGCAGCCGCGGUAAUAAGUAGGGGGCAAGCGUUAUCCGGAUUUACUGGGUGUAAAGGGAGCGUAGACGGGAGUGCAAGUCUGGAGUGAAAGGCGGGGGCUCAACCCCCGGACUGCUCUGGAAACUGUACGGCUGGAGUGCAGGAGAGGUAAGUGGAAUGCCUAGUGUAGCGGUGAAAUGCGUAGAUAUUAGGAGGAACACCAGUGGCGAAGGCGGCUUACUGGACUGUAACUGACGUUGAGGCUCGAAAGCGUGGGGAGCAAACAGGAUUAGAUACCCCGGUAGUC
rnacentral:rRNA from 1 species